UCCCAGUGGGGAGCAAAACUGGAAGUGGGUCUGUGAUGGAAACCACGUUGAAACCUGCCACUUUAAAGCUGACCUGGAAAACUGAUCAAUGGAUUUAUCAAUGGCCUUUAACAGAGAAAAAAAUCAAACAUCCUUAAAGGUUUGGUAAACGAACAAUUACAGCAAGGUCACAUCACAUCCACGAAUAGUCCCUGGAAUUCACCAGUAUUUGUCAUCCACAAGAAGACAUCGGACUCCUGGAGGUUACUUCAUGACCUGAUGAAGAUCAAUGAAGUGACUGAAGACACAGGAGCUCUUCAACCUGGACUUCCUUCUUUAUCAAUGAUCCCAAAACACUGGCCUCUUGUUGUCAUUGAAUGAAAGGAAUGUUUUUUCCACAUCUCACUUCAUCCUGAUGAUGCUCCAAGAUUUGCCUUUUCAGUUCCAGUCAUUCAUCAAAGAGAACCCAUGCAGAGAUAUCACUGGAAAUCAUUGCCUAAGGAAUGAAGAGUUCGCCUAUAAUUUGCCAAUAUUUUGUUGCACAAGCUUUGUCUCCGGUUCGACAGAAGUAUCCAACAUCCAUGAUUCUGCACUAACAUUUUGCUCAUUGUAGCUCCAAUGCAGAUGGAGGUGGAGCAAACCCGUGCUUGUGUUGUUACUGAAAUCCAAAAUGCUGGACUUGAAAUUUCUACAGCAAAAAUCCAAGAAGUUCCACCCUAGAAGUAUCUGGGAUGGAAGAUGACUGAAGAAACAAUUACACCACAGAAGAUACAGCUCCGGAUCAGUGUCAACAAUCUACAGGAUUUACAACAGCUUCUAGGAGAAAUCAAUUGGGGCUCAUUCUUCGCUUCCUGGAUUUCUAGUGGAAGGAAACGCAUGAGCAGACAAACUGGGAAUGGUUAUGUCAAAGACUUUGCCAAACAUUUUUGAACAUGCCAAACUGAGUCAUGCCUUUUUUCACCAAACCGCGCAAGCACUUGGGAGAAUGCUUCAGAUUUCUAAAAGUCAGACUAAAGCUAUCAUCAAUACUUGCCCUGACUGUCAGCUUGUGCAGCCUCCUGUUUCUACAGGAGAGGUCAACCUGCGGUGUUUGCAGAGCCUGCAGUUGUGGCAAAUGGAUAUCACUAAAUGCCCUUCCUUUGGUAAAUUUAAAAAUACUCAGGUUUCAGUGGACACGUUCUCUGGUGCAGUUUUUGCUUCUCUUCACACAGGUGAAACAGGUAAUCAUACCUGUUGACAUUUUUUGCAGAGCUUUUGCUUCAUUGGGUGUGCCCUAAGAAGUAAAAACUGACAAUGGUCCCGCAUACAUACCUCAAAAAUUGGCCACAUUUUUAAAGGAUUGGGGUGUUCGUCACAUCCUUGGUAUUCCUCAUUCUCCCACAAGUCAAGCAAUUGUUGAGAGGACACAUCAGACAUUAAAACUCGUUCUUGAUCAACAGAAGCGGGGAGUAGAGGUCACACUACAGAUGAGGUUGAACAAAGCUUUAAAUGUUUUUAAUUUUUUUAACAGCUCUGUUGCAGAACCCAAUCCACCAAUUUUUUGGCAUUUUUCAAAUAACACACAGGUGAAACUGAAAGAAAAUCCCCCAUUUUAAUUAGAAAUCCUGGGACAGGACAAAUUGAAGGUCCUUUCCGAUUAAUCACUUGGGGCAAAGGGUAUGCUUCUGUCUCUACAGGUGCAGGAAUUAAGUGGGUCCCAGUGAAAAACAUCAAACCAUAUUGCACCCAGAAGGUGUUGAUGAGUUCAAGACCAUAGAAGCAAGUACACAGACGUGAGCUGAACAGAGGGAUCAUGGGUCACACCUGACGUUCCUUGUUCAUCGUUGGAACCUGCAAACUCUGAUUUUAUGCUAUUUAUAAAUGUGUCAAUUGUUGUUUUAGUUGAGCUCUUUAGGCAAAACCAUGGAUUUUGUUUUGUUAUAUUACAGAUCCCCUCUAUUGGACUUUUAAAGGUGAAAUUUUUAUUAAAGGUCAAAAGCAAAGUUUUUAAA